GACGAACGCUGGCGGCGUGCUUAACACAUGCAAGUCGAACGUGAUUUUUGUGGAAAUUCUUUCGGGAAUGGAAAUGAAAUGAAAGUGGCGAACGGGUGAGUAACACGUGAGCAACCUACCUUACACAGGGGGAUAGCCGUUGGAAACGACGAUUAAUACCGUAUGAGACCACAGAAUCGCAUGAUAUAGGGGUCAAAGAUUUAUCGGUGUAAGAAGGGCUCGCGUCUGAUUAGCUAGUUGGAAGGGUAAAGGCCUACCAAGGCGACGAUCAGUAGCCGGUCUGAGAGGAUGAACGGCCACAUUGGAACUGAGACACGGUCCAAACUCCUACGGGAGGCAGCAGUGGGGAAUAUUGCACAAUGGGGGGAACCCUGACGCAGCGACGCCGCGUGAGCGAAGAAGGUUUUCGAAUCGUAAAGCUCUGUCCUAGGAGAAGAUAAUGACGGUAUCAUAGGAGGAAGCCCCGGCUAAAUACGUGC
rnacentral:rRNA from 1 species